rnacentral:rRNA from 1 species
ACUCCUACGGGAGGCAGCAGUGGGGAAUAUUGGACAAUGGGGGCAACCCUGAUCCAGCAAUGCCGCGUGAGUGAUGAAGGCCUUAGGGUUGUAAAGCUCUUUCGGCGGGGACGAUGAUGACGGUACCCGCAGAAGAAGCCCCGGCUAACUUCGUGCCAGCAGCCGCGGUAAUACGAAGGGGGCUAGCGUUGUUCGGAAUUACUGGGCGUAAAGGGCGCGCAGGCGGCCAUUCAAGUCAGAUGUGAAAGCCCCGGGCUCAACCUGGGAACUGCAUUUGAGACUGGAUGGCUAGAGUUCGGGAGAGGAUGGUGGAAUUCCCAGUGUAGAGGUGAAAUUCGUAGAUAUUGGGAAGAACACCGGUGGCGAAGGCGGCCAUCUGGACCGAUACUGACGCUGAGGCGCGAAAGCGUGGGGAGCAAACAGGAUUAGAUACCCUGGUAGUCCACGCCGUAAACGAUGUGUGCUAGACGUUGGGGGGCGUAGCCUCCCGGUGUCGCAGCUAACGCGAUAAGCACACCGCCUGGGGAGUACGGCCGCAAGGUUAAAACUUAAAGGAAUUGACG